UUACCCUUGGACUGGUCUGCUUCCGCCUCAAAAACGAAAGUAAUGACGUGAAUGAUAGUCUGCUGAAGAGCAUCAACGCAGGUGGCGUCAUCCACAUGGUUCCCUCCAAGGCCAAGGACACGUUCUUCCUCAGGUUCGCAGUGUGUUCCAGAUUUACUGAACAAGCAGAUAUUGUAAAAGCCUGGCAGGAAGUGAAGAAAGCGACUGAAAAAAUACUGACCAAGAAUUAACAAAAAACUGCUGGAAAAAAAUGCCUAGGAAACACCACGAAAAUGGCCUUCGGCUCGGGGACACCAGUGAAAGCUAUUUUUUGUAACGAAGAGGCAUAGCAUAGAAAUUUUAAACACACGCGCGCGCACACACACACACACACACACACACACACACACACACACACACACACACACACACACAGAUACCCACCUUAAAUACACAUUAACCUUGAAUAUUGACAUCAAUUGCCGACAUGUGUUAACAGUUCUAUUCCAACUAUUGGGCAAGAUGUCCUUGUCAAUAUUACAAAGUAAAACUGACUUCCUUAUGCGUUAUGUCGACAUCUUUAUGGUACCAAAAGGAAGGAAACGAUUGUCUUUCACUAAUGUUACCUUGGAUUUUGAAUAUGAAACACAUCGAACCUCACUUUCAUUUUAGUUAUGAAAAUGAUGUACUGUUUUCUGACCAAAGGUCCAGUCCAAUGUGUCUCAUAUCAUGUCUUGAGAAUCAGUUAAAGCAACUCACAUUGAGGUGUUUCGAGGCAUACGACAGGGCAUUCGAUCAUAACAGUACAGCGUACCUCCGUUCAUCUCAUCUGGCGUUGGGCAGCAAAGGGUAUUUUGAUGUACGACCACGAUACUUUAGAAUAAAUAAUUCGCAAGGCA